rnacentral:rRNA from 1 species
GGGAGGGCGGCGUGCUAUACAUGCAGUCGAACGCUUUUUCUUUCACCGGAGCUUGCUCCACCGAAAGAAAAGGAGUGGCGAACGGGUGAGUAACACGUGGGUAACCUGCCCAUCAGAAGGGGAUAACACUUGGAAACAGGUGCUAAUACCGUAUAACAAUCGAAACCGCAUGGUUUCGGUUUGAAAGGCGCUUUUGCGUCACUGAUGGAUGGACCCGCGGUGCAUUAGCUAGUUGGUGAGGUAACGGCUCACCAAGGCAACGAUGCAUAGCCGACCUGAGAGGGUGAUCGGCCACAUUGGGACUGAGACACGGCCCAAACUCCUACGGGAGGCAGCAGUAGGGAAUCUUCGGCAAUGGACGAAAGUCUGACCGAGCAACGCCGCGUGAGUGAAGAAGGUUUUCGGAUCGUAAAACUCUGUUGUUAGAGAAGAACAAGGAUGAGAGUAGAAUGUUCAUCCCUUGACGGUAUACUAACCAGAAAGCCACGGCUAACUACGUGCCAGCAGCCGCGGUAAUACGUAGGUGGCAAGCGUUGUCCGGAUUUAUUGGGCGUAAAGCGAGCGCAGGCGGUUUCUUAAGUCUGAUGUGAAAGCCCCCGGCUCAACCGGGGGAGGGUCAUUGGAAACUGGGAAACUUGAGUGCAGAAGAGGAGAGUGGAAUUACCAUGUGUAGCGGUGAAAUGCGUAGAUAUAUGGAGGAACACCAGUGGCGAAGGCGGCUCUCUGGUCUGUAACUGACGCUGAGGCUCGAAAGCGUGGGGAGCAAACAGGAUUAGAUACCCUGGUAGUCCACGCCGUAAACGAUGAGUGCUAAGUGUUGGAGGGUUUCCGCCCUUCAGUGCUGCAGCUAACGCAUUAAGCACUCCGCCUGGGGAGUACGACCGCAAGGUUGAAACUCAAAGGAAUUGACGGGGGCCCGCACAAGCGGUGGAGCAUGUGGUUUAAUUCGAAGCAACGCGAAGAACCUUACCAGGUCUUGACAUCCUUUGACCACUCUAGAGAUAGAGCUUCCCCUUCGGGGGCAAAGUGACAGCUGGUGCAUGGUUGUCGUCAGCUCGUGUCGUGAGAUGUUGGGUUAAGUCCCCGCAACGAGCGCAACCCUUAUUGUUAGGUUGCCAUCAAUUUAGUUGGGCACCUCUUCGCUCUGACGGCCACUGUUUGGCCUCCUUCCACCCCUACUGCAGUUUAGUAGUACGGGGAAUACUGGACCCGAUGUGUGCACGAUGUUACCCUUCAUGUUGCUCAGCGCUUCAGCGCUCCGAUUCGAUUAGAGAAUUUCGAAGAGAGUCAAGCCUAACAUCCGACGUUGAGCGGAUGUACUUCGGCCUUAGCGAUCAUUAGCGCCUAGUCGUGCGGCGCCACUUAUGCAAGGGCCCGGAACAUGUGUGGCGGGCAGUGUGGUGCUCUCAAACAUUGUGGGCUUCAGCCACUCCAUUGGAAACCUCGGUCGGCGGAUUCACCUUCUAAAA